GAUGAACGCUGGCGGCGUGCCUAAUACAUGCAAGUCGAGCGAACAGACGAGGAGCUUGCUCCUCUGACGUUAGCGGCGGACGGGUGAGUAACACGUGGAUAACCUACCUAUAAGACUGGGAUAACUUCGGGAAACCGGAGCUAAUACCGGAUAAUAUAUUAAACCGCAUGGUUCAAUAGUGAAAGACGGUUUUGCUGUCACUUAUAGAUGGAUCCGCGCCGCAUUAGCUAGUUGGUAAGGUAACGGCUUACCAAGGCAACGAUGCGUAGCCGACCUGAGAGGGUGAUCGGCCACACUGGAACUGAGACACGGUCCAGACUCCUACGGGAGGCAGCAGUAGGGAAUCUUCCGCAAUGGGCGAAAGCCUGACGGAGCAACGCCGCGUGAGUGAUGAAGGUCUUCGGAUCGUAAAACUCUGUUAUUAGGGAAGAACAAAUGUGUAAGUAACUAUGCACGUCUUAACGGUACCUAAUCAGAAAGCCACGGCUAACUACGUG
rnacentral:rRNA from 1 species